ACCUGCGGAAGGAUCAUUGUCGUGACCCUGACCAAAACAGACCGUGAACGUGUCAUCCAUGUCGCCGGGCGACGGGGUCGCACCUGUCUCCUGGUUCUGGCCAUCGACCUUCCUUCGGAGGGGAGUGGCCACAAAAGAACCCACGGCGCCGUAUGGCGUCAAGGAACACUAAGAUUGUCUUGCUCAUGGCCGUGGUCGGCUUGCCGGACGCAGCCUGAGCAGCGAUGCUAUGUUAAUCAACAUGACUCUCGGCAACGGAUAUCUCGGCUCUCGCAUCGAUGAAGAACGUAGCAAAAUGCGAUACCUGGUGUGAAUUGCAGAAUCCCGUGAACCAUCGAGUUUUUGAACGCAAGUUGCGCCCGAGGCCUUCUGGUCGAGGGCACGUCUGCCUGGGCGUCACGCCAAAAGACACUCCCCACCCAUCCCGGUGGCGGACGUGGUGUUUGGCCCCUCGUGCCGCAGGGUACGGUGGGCCAAAGCAGGGGCUGCCGGCGGUGCCGAUCACAGCACAAGGUGGAUGACGCAUGUUGUUCUCGGUGCUGUGACGUGAACCCGCAUUCGGCGAUGUCAUGGCCCUAUAGACCCAUGUACCGAGACGCAAGUCGCUCGGACCGCGACCCCAGGUCAGUCGGGAUUACCCGCUGAAUUUAAGCAUAUCAAUAAGCGG
rnacentral:rRNA from 1 species